AAAGGAAUUGACGGGGCCCGCACAAGCGGUGGAGUAUGUGGUUAAUUCGAUGCAACGCGAAGAACCUUACCUGGUCUUGACAUCCCGGAGACCCUUAGGAAACUAGGGGGUGCUUCCAUCUGGAAGAAUCUGGAGACAGGUGCUGCAUGGCUGUCGUCAGCUCGUGUCGUGAGAUGUUGGGUUAAGUCCCGCAACGAGCGCAACCCUUGCCUUUAGUUGCCAGCAGUUCGGCUGGGCACUCUAAAGGGACUGCCGGUGUUAAACCGGAGGAAGGUGGGGAUGACGUCAAGUCCUCAUGGCCUUUAUGACCAGGGCUACACACGUACUACAAUGGCCGAUACAAAGGGCAGCGACACUGCGAGGUGAAGCCAAUCCCGUAAAAUCGGUCUCAGUCCGGAUUGGAGUCUGCAACUCGACUCCAUGAAGUUGGAAUCGCUAGUAAUCGUGGAUCAGCAUGCCACGGUGAAUACGUUCCCGGGCCUU
rnacentral:rRNA from 1 species